rnacentral:rRNA from 1 species
UACAGAGGGUGCGAGCGUUAAUCGGAAUUACUGGGCGUAAAGCGUGCGUAGACGGUUAUCUAAGUCGGAUGUGAAAGCCCCGGGCUCAACCUGGGAAUUGCAUUCGAGACUGAAUAGCUAGGGUACGGUAGAGGGAAGUGGAAUUUCCGGUGUAGCGGUGAAAUGCGUAGAUAUCAGGAGGAAUACCGAUGGCGAAGGCAGGUCUCUGGGCUGACACUGACGCUCAUGCACGAAAGCGUGGGGAGCAAACAGG